rnacentral:rRNA from 1 species
GACGAACGCUGGCGGCGUGCCUAACACAUGCAAGUCGAACGGGACUGGGGGCAACUCCAGUUCAGUGGCGGACGGGUGCGUAACACGUGAGGAACAUGACUUUCGGUGGGGGAUAGCCGGCCCAACGGCCGGGUAAUACCGCGUACGACCUCUCGGGGACAUCCCCGGUUGGUGGAAGCAGCAAUGCGCCGGAAGAGUGCCUCGCGGCCUAUCAGCUAGUUGGUGGGGUAACGGCCCACCAAGGCGACGACGGGUAGCUGGUCUGAGAGGAUGGCCAGCCACAUUGGGACUGAGACACGGCCCAGACUCCUACGGGAGGCAGCAGUGGGGAAUAUUGCGCAAUGGGCGAAAGCCUGACGCAGCGACGCCGCGUGUGGGAUGACGGCCUUCGGGUUGUAAACCACUGUCGGGAGGGACGAAUGCCCCGCAAGGGGAGUGACGGUACCUCCAAAGGAAGCACCGGCUAACUCCGUGCCAGCAGCCGCCGUAAAAC